rfam:Bacillus sp. SG-1 1101501000801, whole genome shotgun sequence.
GAAACCUUUAAUACAGUCCCGUGAGGCUGAGAAGGAACUUUUCAUGAAAUUACACUACAGGAGUGCAGUGUAAUAAUUUCUAACGAUAAGUAUGCCCUCUCACUAUAGCGGUGAGAGGGAUUUUUUAUU